rnacentral:rRNA from 1 species
AUGGUAAACAUGGUGGAUCAGCAGGACGCCGCCGAGGACAUCGUCAUCGCCGGCGCCGGCGUGGCCGGCCUCGCCGUCGCCCUGGGGCUCCACAGGAAGGGCGUUCGGUGCGUGGUGCUGGAGUCCUCGCCGGUGCUCCGGACUUCCGGGUUCGCGAUCGCGGCAUGGACGAACGCCUUCCGCGCGCUUGAUGCCCUUGGAGUAGGCGACACCAUUAGGAGUAAACACCUGCAGAUCCAGGGGGCGUGUGUCAUGUCUUCGACAACAGGGCAAGUAGCCCGAGAGGUAGAUCUCCGGGUGCAAGGAAAAUGGGGACCCCAUGAAGCCCGGUGCGUGCAGCGUAACGUGCUGCUCCAGGCACUCGAGGAAGAACUGCCCAGAGGCACCAUCCGCUACUCCUCCAAGAUCGUCUCCAUCGACGACUGCGACGAUGCCAAGAUCCUCCAUCUCGCCGACGGCUCAACUCUCAGAGCAAAGGGCCCCGACGGCCAUGGCUUCGAGCCCAAGAUGCUGCAGUUCGGCGGCCAGGGCUUCCGCGCGGGCUUGGUCCCCUGCAACCGCACCGACGUCUACUGGUUCUUCACAUGGUCUCCUUCUCCUACUCCGGACGGUAAGGAUGACGCCGAGCAGAACCCGGCGGAGAUGAAGCAGUUCGUGCUGGCCAAGCUCAGAAGCAUCAAGGCCCCCGCCGACGUGCUGGGAGCGGUUGAGAGGAGCGAGAUGAACGACGUCCUCGUGGCGCCCCUGCGGUACCGCCCGCCGCUGUCGCUCCUGUUCGCGAGCAUCUGCAAGGGAAACGUGUGCGUCGCCGGCGACGCGCUUCACCCGACGACGCCGGACCUGGCACAGGGCGCCUGCGUCGCGCUAGAAGACGCUGUCGUCCUCGCGCGGUGCCUCGGCGACGCCAUCGUCGGAAAGGAACGGGAGUCGGUCGAGGCGGCUCUGCGCCGGUACGCCGGGAUCCGGCGGUGGAGGAGCGCGCAGGUGAUCGCCGCGUCUUAUAUGGUGGGGCUGGUGCAGCAGAGCGAUCACGCCGUGGUGAGGUUUGCGCGGGACAGGCUGCUGUUCGGGAUGCUCGCCAAGGGGCUGCUGAUCAUGCCGGACUACGACUGCGGCACACUGUGA